CGCGUAGGCGGAUUAGAAAGUUAGGGGUGAAAUCCCGGGGCUCAACCCCGGAACUGCCUCCAAAACUACUGGUCUAGAGUUCGAGAGAGGUGAGUGGAAUUCCGAGUGUAGAGGUGAAAUUCGUAGAUAUUCGGAGGAACACCAGUGGCGAAGGCGGCUCACUGGCUCGAUACUGACGCUGAGGUGCGAAAGUGUGGGGAGCAAACA
rnacentral:rRNA from 1 species